UGGAGCGGCCGAUGUCAGAUUAGCUAGUUGGUGGGGUAAAGGCCUACCAAGGCAACGAUCUGUAGUUGGUCUGAGAGGACGACCAGCCACACUGGGACUGAGACACGGCCCAGACUCCUACGGGAGGCAGCAGUGGGGAAUUUUGGACAAUGGGGGCAACCCUGAUCCAGCCAUUCCGCGUGAGUGAAGAAGGCCUUCGGGUUGUAAAACUCUGUCUU
rnacentral:rRNA from 1 species